rnacentral:lncRNA from 1 species
UUAGAUCUUGGAUUGGUUGAGCAAGUUCUGGUGUGGCAGAUAAGGGGCUGACAUACAAGGUUAGCACUCUAACACCAAGUCAGUGAUAAAUUAUGGAGUAAUGUGGGAGUGAGAGUGGAUUUGUAUUACCUGAAAUAUGCACUUUCUUCCUGAUAUAGUGUGAGCAGUUAAAGUCGUCCGUGUGAGAGAAGACGCAUUGUGAAGAUGAUCAUUAGAUCUAAGACGGUGAUUGAUGUGUUCAGAAGUGCUAAAUCCUCUAUGUUUGG